UACGAGUGCCCCGAGCGUUAUCCGGAAUUAUUGGGCGUAAAGGGUGUGUAGGUGGUCGUGUUAGUCUCCUGUCAAAUUCUUCGGCUUAACCGGGGGUCCGCAGGGGAAACGGCACGACUCGAGGAUGCGAGGGGUCAGUGGAACUCAUGGAGUAGGGGUGAAAUCCGUUGAUAUCAUGGGGAACACCAAAAGCGAAGGCACUGACUGGCGCAUUCCUGACACUGAGAUACGAAAGCGUGGGUAGCGAACUGG
rnacentral:rRNA from 1 species